AAGUUAACGAUAAUUAUAAAAAUAAGUAUUCGUUAUGACUUGCUUAAUUUAGGCAUGAUAAACUCCUAUUACAGUCAUAGAAUUUAAGUUAC
rnacentral:snoRNA from 1 species